UAGGGAAUCUUCCGCAAUGGACGCAAGUCUGACGGAGCAACGCCGCGUGAGUGAAGAAGGAUUUCGGUUCGUAAAACUCUGUUGUUAGAGAAGAACAGCGCAUAGAGUAACUGUUAUGCGUGUGACGGUAUCUAACCAGAAAGCCACGGCUAACUACGUGCCAGCAGCCGCGGUAAUACGUAGGUGGCAAGCGUUGUCCGGAUUUAUUGGGCGUAAAGCGAGCGCAGGCGGUCAAUUAAGUCUGAUGUGAAAGCCUCCGGCUCAACCGGGGAGGGUCAUUGGAAACUGGUUGACUUGAGUGCAGAAGAGGAGAGUGGAAUUCCAUGUGUAGCGGUGAAAUGCGUAGAUAUAUGGAGGAACACCAGUGGCGAAGGCGACUCUCUGGUCUGUAACUGACGCUGAGGCUCGAAAGCGUGGGUAGCAAACAGG
rnacentral:rRNA from 1 species